GGGGAAAUAACUCAGUGGUAGAGUGUACGCUUCGCAUGAUCUGGCUUAUUGCGUAAAGCCCGGGGUUCAAUCCCCCGUUUCUCCA